UCAAGUUCAGCCAUUCAAAAAGGGUGUCUCGAACAGUGCUACACAAGACUCAAUCAUGAAUGCACACAACAAGACUCAAUUUAAUUAUUCAAAGAUCAAUUGUGUACUCAAAGAUUCAAGUUGUGACACACCAUUACCGAAGAUUCUCAAGCUCGCAAUACUUGCUUCAAAUGCAAGUUCAAGCUCAACAAAAGCCUUCCAAUG
rnacentral:lncRNA from 1 species